AGACAGAGGCAGAGGGAGGGAGAAGAUAACCAAGUAAAUGUCUUUUUUCAGGUGCUUGAGACUUGUAGGUAGGCUCCUUUUUUUUUUUUUUCUUGAGUGAGGCUAAAGCUUUAGAACAAAAACUUGCUGUAACAGGCAACCAGCGGUCCCUCUAGGAGGCUCUCAACGAUCUUAGCAAAGAUUGUGGGUUUGGGAGCAAGCCAGAGACGGAUUUGAGUCAUAGCACAACCACUCAGCAGCGUUGCAUCCUUGGGCCCAUCAGAGGACUGCUCUGUGCCUCGGUUUUCUCAUUGGUAAACUGGGAUCCGAAGGCCUGCCCAGAGCCAGCUGAGCAGUUUGUCCUGGAAAUACAUCCAUAAAGAUCGUUGAUGUCCCAUCAGGAAGAGACCCAAUAAUAUCUUCCUGAAAGUGCCAAUUUGAUCAUGGAAUCUUUCAGCCACUGACAUCCCUUCAGUGGCUUCUCUUUGCUAUUGGGAGGAAGACCAGAAUCCUGAAGAAGUCCUACAAAGUCUUACAGCAUGUGGAUGAUGCCUGCUUGUCUCAUGACUCUCCUCGUUUCCUGGGUAAUUCAACGGCACACACCAUAUCACCUCUUGCUUUAGGCCUUUGAAUAUAUAUUUUCUUUACUUGGAAUAAUUGUCUACCUCCGCCCUCACCUUAACUUCAUUUCAUUAAUAUUCCUCAUCUUUUAGGAGGAGAUUGUUUCCUUAUCUUUUAGGAGGGAUCAUUUCUUUAGACAAGCCUUCCUUGGUAUCCUGUACCAGGUCAAUUUGCCUUGUUAUUUCCUUUAAUAACACCAUGUACAUCUUCUCCAUAGCAUAUUAACACAAUGGUAAUGUCAUUUGAUUAAUGUCUGCCUCUCCCAUGAGGGUAGGGAUGGCAUCGUUUCCCCUUCAUUGAUUCCAUUAGAACCUAGAACUAGUAAGACAGUGGAAAGACCAGUGAGGAGAGACUACCCCUACUCCAAGGAGAAAAGCUUUGCUAGUGACAUAAGAGUCAUGGUCAUGUGGGUCCCUUCCAAGCUUCCAUAGCCCAGAGAAGCUGGGCUGACAAAUUAAACAUACAAAGGGUUGGAUUUCAUGAGCAGGUAGGUAGAGGGAAAGACCUUUGUGGAUUACAUAUGUGUCCCCAUGUAUCCCCAGCCAUGCAUAAUAACAAUAGUGUUAAUAAAUACCUCUUAUUGGACAUCUGUGAUGCUCUGGGUACUUUAAAACUUUACUUCUAAUCUUCAAAACAGCUCUGAUGUUCAAUUUACCAUCUCUAUUGUAUAAAUAAGGAGACAGAGGCUCGGAGAGGUUAGGUGACUUUCCAAGGACUCCACAGCUACUAAGUGAUGGGGCCAAGACUCAGAAGUGGUCUGUGGGUGUAGCUAUAACUCUACUUUACUAUCAGAACCAGCUCUGGGGGUUGCCCAUGAAGGCAGAUGAACUUUUGCAUCAGGUCCUUUAGUAGAAAUAAACCAAUGGACAUUGCAACUUGCUUCUCACCAGGUAGCAAGGGCCUGGGGUACAUUCUCAAGGCAUUGCACUUGCUUCCUCCUUGAUUCCCUUUGAAGUUAGUGGGAAGUCAGCACCUGGAACCUGCAGAGCAUCACAGUGGGGCUUCGUGUUCAUUGGGAUUUCAUGGCGCUCACGUUUCUGAUUAUAGAAUCCAGAAUCUGCCUGUCUGUCUGUCUAUCUAUCUAUCUAUCUAUCUAUCUAUCAUCUAUCUAUCUAUCUAUCCUCUCUUUACUUAAUGAAGUCCUAUUUAAUAAUUUCCUAAUUCAAUAAUAUAAAUCACACUUUCUCUAUAUAAAGUAGAUAAAAAUAGCUGCUUUAAUUAUUUAAGUACUAUCCAAAGAGGCAAACAUCAAAAGAAGCUGAAGUUGCCACACAAAGAGGAAAAAAAAAUCUUAGGAUCAGCAACUUUCCUAAGGCAUGCAAGAUAUGGUCUCAGACACGUGUACAAGCUAAGCUUAAAGCUUUAUUUAAAAAAUAUUGAAUUUUAUGGUUGACAAGAUCAUUAAUAAUGUCAUUAUAUUCCAUGGCAUACUCUUAUCCACCCAGCAUACCUGUCAUAUUUAUAUACAAGCUACUUAUUGCUAUGGGGAUUCAAUGAGGAAAAAUCAAUUAAUUGCAAGCCUGGAAAUUAAUAGGAAGGACUCUGAGAUACUGAUGAGUUUUCCUCCUCCCUAAUCAUGGCUGGCUAUGCUAACAGUUAGCUCCAUUAGAAUUCUUACCCUUCUUGAAUGCAGCAAGAGGACCAGGCAAACUCUUCCCCAUUAAACGCCAGUUCCCUAUAUUCUGGAUCAUCUAGUCAGCACAAAAUCUCCAUUUCUCUGGCUUCCAUCUUUUAACUCUAUGAGAAUUUCUGUGGCCCAGAAGUUCUUUCUUGACUCUGAAAUAUUUUCUACCUAGUAUAUAG